CGCAGAGUCUAUGCAUCUCUGAAUCACACAACAGCCGUGUCUAUGCGUGG
rnacentral:antisense_RNA from 1 species